rnacentral:rRNA from 1 species
CCUACGGGUGGCUGCAGUGAGGAAUAUUGGUCAAUGGGCGAGAUCCUGAACCAGCCAAGUCGCGUGCGGGAAGACGGCCCUAUGGGUUGUAAACCUCUUUUGUCGGUGAAUAAAACCCGGGACGUGUCCCGGACUGCGUGUAUCCGAAGAAAAAGCAUCGGCUAAUUCCGUGCCAGCAGCCGCGGUAAUACGGAGGAUGCGAGCGUUAUCCGGAUUUAUUGGGGUAAAGGGGUGCGUAGGCGGUCCGUUAAGUCUGCGGGAAAAUUGCGGGGCUCAACCCGGUCGAGCCGUUGAAACUGGCAGGCUUGAGUGGGCGAGAAGUACGCGGAAUGCGCGGUGUAGCGGUGAAAUGCAUAGAUAUCGCGCAGAACUCCGAUUGCGAAGGCAGCGUACCGGCGCCAGACUGACGCUGAGGCACGAAAGCGUGGGGAUCGAACAGGAUUAGAUACCCGUGUAGUC